CAAAAGUUUAACGGCCGCGUUUAGUGCUAAGGUAGCAUAAUAAUUUGCCUUUUUAUUGGAGGCUAGUAUGAAUGGAUUAACGAAGCUUAACUGUUUCUAAUUAUAAAAGUAAAAUUGUGUUAAAGGUGAAAACCCCUUUAUUUCAGUGCAGGACGAAAAGACCCUAUAGAGUUUAUAGUGAAUUAACAUCAACAUAAUAAAUAUGUUACACACUUUUAUUGGGGCAAUAAAAGAACAAGAAAACUCUUUUAAAUAAAAAGAUUUAAAAUAUUAACAAAUUUAAGAUCCUUAAAAAGAAUGAAGAAAAACUACCUUAGGGAUAACAGCGUUAUCCUUCCAGAGAGGACUAAUCGAAGGAAGGGUUUGCGACCUCGAUGUUGGACUAAGGUAUCACUUAAGUGCAGAAGCUUAAAAAGUAAGCCUGUUCGGCUUUUAAUACCUUACAUGAUU
rnacentral:rRNA from 1 species